UUAAUUCAAAUUUGUAUGGAGUUGGAACGUCUGCCUGCGUUUGCCGCUAGGGGCACUGUUCCGACUGCAUACAAAUUUGAGUUA
rfam:Bombyx mori DNA, contig: Bm_scaf158_contig40483, strain: p50T/Dazao, build 2, whole genome shotgun sequence.